UACAUGGGGUGCAAACGUUGCUCGGAAUUAUUGGGCGUAAAGCGCGCGUAGGCGGUUACUUAAGUCGGAUGUGAAAGCCCUCGGCUUAACUGAGGAAGUGCACCCGAAACUGAGUAGCUAGAGUACGAAAGAGGGUCGCGGAAUUCCCGGUGUAGAGGUGAAAUUCGUAGAUAUCGGGAGGAACACCGGUGGCGAAGGCGGCGACCUGGGUCGAGACUGACGCUGAGGCGCGAAAGCGUGGGGAGUAAACAGG
rnacentral:rRNA from 1 species